UACGUAGGCAGCAAGCGUUGUUCGGAGUUACUGGGCGUAAAGAGCGUGUAGGCGGCUUGGCAAGUCCGCUGUGAAAACUUGAGGCUUAACCUCGAGACGUCGGUGGAAACUGCCUGGCUAGAGUCCGGAAGAGGAGAGUGGAAUUCCUGGUGUAGCGGUGAAAUGCGCAGAUAUCAGGAAGAACACCCGUGGCUAAGGCGGCUCUCUAGUACGGUACUGACGCUGAGACGCGAAAGCGUGGGGAGCGAACAGG
rnacentral:rRNA from 1 species